rnacentral:lncRNA from 1 species
GCUAUGAGCUCAUCAAAAGCAUAAGGGCAGGUUGUCCUGACUUGUUGGGAAUUGCAUUUGGAAGGAGAAGGCAUGUAGAACUUUCUUUUCUGGUUGCUCUCAGCCCCAGGAAGUAAUCUGAGCACUCUCAUGUGAGUCAGGAGAACUAUUGGCUGUGUGGACUUCAAACCAGUCACUUCACCUCUCUGGAGCUGGGCAUCUUAUUCUGCAAAAAUGAUGAGGUUCAAGUAGAUGGUAUGUUAGCCCCUUCUAGCCUUGUUAUUCUGAAUCUAUUGUUCUCCCGAAAUUAUGGCUUGUUUCACUUGAUCAUUGCUUAUCUUUUAUAUCUUUGAAGGUUGGCCGUUUCCUAUUCGGCCUCCCUCUUGACUUCUUAAGGAGCUCUCAGGGCCACUCUGACAAUUAGCAGGCCCAUGGCCUCCUCUCAAACAGGCCCCCACAGAGGAAACAGAAACAAUAGGAAUCGCUUCCCGGGCAGCCUCUGUCCCGCCAAGGGUAGGCAUCCAGAGUUGUUUUUCUGGCACUGCUGUUGUUUUCCCCAACCCACCACACCCUCCAUCCUGUGCUUCCUCCAAGACCAAGGUUCCCAGGGCAGGAGGACUGUCCAGGAGAGCCUUCGCCCCAGCCCUGCUAUCUGCCUCAUACCUGCUGUACUUGGAAUUCCAUUCCUCUCUCCAACCUCAGCUUCUCUGGCAAAGCUCAAGAACUCUGCAGGAAUGAAAUUUUUGCUGACCCCAGGGGCUGGGAUAAAGCCUUAUUCCAGCAGAGCAGCAUCAUGCAUGAUCCAAUUCUCAGCCCCUCCUAUUUUCCUCUGAUGCAUAUUAAAAUUUGCUGUUCACAGCUGUUGUUCCCAGUACUGUUCUGUUCCCAGCCUGAGGUUUGCAUGCAGCAGGUGCUGGAUGUUUGGUGAGCAAAGAGUAGAAGAGAAAAGAGGAAGAAAUGAAAUGGCAUGAAUCUCUAAAGGAAGCUUGGUGGUACAUCUAGUGCUAAAUUUGCCCACUUAUUGUUUAUGUCCAAGAUAAAACCACAACAUAAACACAAAUCUGUAGACAGUGUGGGCACUGGGCACUUCCGUUGACAGCUCUGCUCAGGAACAAGGAAGUAGGCUCUCAGUAAGGUCCUUGGGCCCUUGUUGACACCACAGAAAAGU